UCACUUUCAACAACGGAUCUCUUGGCUCUCGCAUCGAUGAAGAACGUAGCGAAGUGCGAUAAGUAGUGUGAAUUGCAGAAUUCCGUGAAUCAUCGAAUCUUUGAACGCAAAUUGCACUCCCUGGUAUUCCGGGGAGUAUGCCUGUUUGGGGGUCAGUU
rnacentral:rRNA from 1 species